AUUGAACGCUGGCGGCAGGCCUAACACAUGCAAGUAGAACGAGCGGCGGACGGGUGAGUAAUGUAUGGGAAUCUGCCCGAUGGAGGGGGAUAACUACUGGAAACGGUGGCUAAUACCGCAUACCAUCGGAUGACCCCAGACGGGAUUAGCUAGUAGGUGGGGUAACGGCUCACCUAGGCGACGAACCCUAGCUGGUCUGAGCGGUUGACCAGCCACACUGGGACUGAGACACGGUCCAGACUCCUACGGGAGGCAGCAGUGGGGAAUAUUGCACAAUGGGCGCAAGCCUGAUGCAGCCAUGCCGCGUGUAGGAAGAAGGCCUUAGGGUUGUAAAGUACGUUCAGCGAGGAGGCGUUACUCGCAGAAGAAGCACCGGCUAACUCCGUGCCAGCAGCCGCGGUAAUAC
rnacentral:rRNA from 1 species